GCAAGUCGAACGAGAAAGUUCUCUUCGGAGGACGAGUAGAGUGGCGCACGGGUGAGUACAACUUAGGUAACCUGCCCUUUCGCUGGGGACAACCAAGGGAAACUUUGGCUAAUACCGAAUGACUCUAUCCUUUCCGUGGAAAAGAUAGAGAAAGCCUUCGGGCGCGAAAGGAGGGGCCUGAGCCCCAUUAGCUAGUUGGUAAGGUAACGGCUUACCAAGGCAACGAUGGGUAGCUGGUCUGAGAGGAUGAUC
rnacentral:rRNA from 1 species